GAGCACGAGAGCUGGUACUGUGCCAGAAA
rnacentral:piRNA from 1 species